CCUACUGGCAGCCCUUUCUCCUUCACUGACACGGGCAGGAGGCAGUCCCAGAUGCAUAUCUUCAGUGACCUGCAGUGAGGACUGAGAGUGCUGAAGAUGAUGGGAAGAAGAGCUAGUAGCAGCAGACACCACAGCAGUUCCUGGACCACCUAGGCACCAAAUUGCUGCACACACUUGCCCAGAGGCUUGAGAGCAGGAAGCUCUGGAGAAAUUAUGUGAGCAGUGUCUCCUGUGGCACACCUCUGGUCUCCCAUGGGAUAGGUAUAAUUAGGGUGCACAGACAGACGUGUUCAGAGACAGAUUCAUCCCAGCCCAGAAUGGAGGCCUCAGAGGGCAAAGACGCAGAUGGAACCUGGAUGUGGAAGUCUGGAAUAAAUCCCAACCCAAAGGUUAUGCCAAGGGUCUGGGACUGAGCAAGCAGAUUGGUGUUAUUCAUAUUGACUACAGAGAAGGUAAAAGGGAUUAACAGGGAAAAGAUUAAGAGCCUUCAUUUAUCUAUAUCAGAUUUAAGGUAACAUCUGGAAAUUGGUAGAAAGAUCUGAAAGAGACAGUAAUUAAACUCAGUAGCGAAGAAUGUUUCAAGGUAUCUAGCUGGAGUGUGACCUUAAUACUCUGGCACUAUUUUUCAAAUAUAUAUAUAUAUAUUUCAUAUGAGAAGUAUUUGGGGAUAUUGUAAUAAUUAUCAUCACCAUCCAAAGUGCAACUACUACAAAUCACUUCUCUCUGCCAGUUCCUUUCUAUUGAUGUCCCAUGCACAGCCAUUUUUAAGACCUGGAAAAUAAGUUCAUGUGGCUUUCAUGAAAAAAAUGUUUUGGUUCUCUGCUAGGCAACAAUAUAUAUAGUUUCUCUUAAUGUUUUUACUUAAUCACUUCAACUGGCAAAUCUCCUGUGUCCUACCACUGAAACUGUGUCAUUAAUCUGGAAAAGGUCAACCACAAAGUAAAAAUUUAAACUGAGUUAAACACAGUUCAGUUAUAUCAUUCUAUAAAAACUGGGAGGCACAUUCAGAACAUUCAGCCAUCUAACCCUUGUUUUAUCUUACCUCCUUCCAAAAUCCUUUCUUUCCAAAAAAUCCUCAUGGAUGGGUGUGUCCCAGAGUACUUCUUUAACAGUUUCUGAGUUUAAUGCACCUUUAAUCUAUUUGUGUGUCUUUCAG
rnacentral:lncRNA from 1 species